CUCCUCCGAGACGACGCCGAAAAGAAGUUGUUCUAUCACCUCCUCUCUCCUUCCAAUCUCAGGUAAACUCUGUAAACUCAAAACUAGGGUUUGAUGAUUGAGGGUUUUGUAUUUUGCCCCACACUUGCAGCUAGUGAAAUUAAAAAUGGCUUCUUCUUCAACUAACAAUAUUAACAUUAGAUUAAAACCAAGAAUGUGUGAUUGUGGGAGAACAGCUGCAAUAUAUAUUGUACGAACCAAUGAGAAUGGAAAAUCAAGGGCAUCUCUUUUUUGUUUGCUCAUCAAAAUAUAGUAACAAAGAACACUGCAAUUACUUUAAGUUUGCGGAUGAUGAUGAUGGGGACGUUACUUCCACAAUCCAUUCCAAUAUUGGACCUCAUAAAGCUAACCAAACAGAAGAAUUGAAUGAUGUAAGAACAAGGCUUUCUGAGAUGGAAAAUGAGAUUCGUGACCAUGGUGGCUUCAAAGGAUGGACAAGAAUUUCAAGGCUAUGAUUUAUGUUUUCGUAGUUUGUAUCAUUUUGUACUUUAUUAUGUAAGACACUUGACUGUUAGUUUUUAGGAAAUUUGAUGAAUGUAAUUAUGAAUGUAAUGGACAUGUUGGAUGUUAGCAAUUUAAUUGAAUGGGGUGUCGUAGGAAUUUAA